UACGGAGGGUGCAAGCGUUGUCCGGAAUCACUGGGCGUAAAGGGUGCGUAGGCGGGUCUUUAAGUCAGGGGUGAAAUCCUGGAGCGUCAACUCCCAGAACUGCCUUUGAUACUGGAAGAUCUUGAGUCCGGGAGAGGUGAGUGGAACUGCGAGUGUAGAGGUGAAAUUCGUAGAUAUUCGCAAGAACACCAGUGGCGAAGGCGGCUCACUGGCCCGGUACUGACGCUGAGGCACGGAAGGCUAGGG
rnacentral:rRNA from 1 species